rnacentral:rRNA from 1 species
AGCAGUAGCCGCGGAAUACAGAGGGUGCGAGCGUUAAUCGGAUUUACUGGGCGUAAAGCGUGCGUAGGCGGCUAAUUGAGUCGGAUGUGAAAUCCCCGAGCUUAACUUGGGAAUUGCAUUCGAUACUGGUUAGCUAGAGUGUGGGAGAGGAUGGUAGAAUUCCAGGUGUAGCGGUGAAAUGCGUAGAGAUCUGGAGGAAUACCGAUGGCGAAGGCAGCCAUCUGGCCUAACACUGACGCUGAGGUACGAAAGCAUGGGGAGCAAACAGGAUUAGAUACCCCGGUAGUCCCUGUCUCUUAUACA